AGAGUUUGAUCCUGGCUCAGGAUGAACGCUGGCGGCGUGCUUAACACAUGCAAGUCGAACGGUCCUUCGGGACAGUGGCGGACGGGUGAGUAACGCGUGGGAAUCUGCCCUUAGGAGGGGGAUAACGGUUGGAAACGACCGCUAAUACCCCAUAUGCCGAGAGGUGAAAUGAAAUUCGCCUGAGGAUGAGCCCGCGUCUGAUUAGCUAGUUGGUGGGGUAAAGGCCUACCAAGGCGACGAUCAGUAGCUGGUCUGAGAGGAUGAUCAGCCACACUGGGACUGAGACACGGCCCAGACUCCUACGGGAGGCAGCAGUGGGGAAUUUUCCGCAAUGGGCGAAAGCCUGACGGAGCAACGCCGCGUGAGGGAUGAAGGCCUCUGGGCUGUAAACCUCUUUUCUCAAGGAAGAAGAUCUGACGGUACUUGAGGAAUAAGCCACGGCUAAUUCCGUGCCAGCAGCCGCGGUAAUACGGGAGUGGCAAGCGUUAUCCGGAAUUAUUGGGCGUAAAGCGUCCGCAGGCGGCCUUGUAAGUCUGUUGUUAAAGCGUGGAGCUUAACUCCAUUUCAGCAAUGGAAACUACAAGGCUUGAGUGUGGUAGGGGCAGAGGGAAUUCCCGGUGUAGCGGUGAAAUGCGUAGAUAUCGGGAAGAACACCAGUGGCGAAGGCGCUCUGCUGGGCCAUAACUGACGCUCAUGGACGAAAGCCAGGGGAGCGAAAGGGAUUAGAUACCCCUGUAGUCCUGGCCGUAAACGAUGAACACUAGGUGUCGGGGGAAUCGACCCCCUCGGUGUCGUAGCCAACGCGUUAAGUGUUCCGCCUGGGGAGUACGCACGCAAGUGUGAAACUCAAAGGAAUUGACGGGGGCCCGCACAAGCGGUGGAGUAUGUGGUUUAAUUCGAUGCAACGCGAAGAACCUUACCAGGGUUUGACAUCCUGCGAACCCCUGGGAAAUCGGGGGGUGCCUUCGGGAACGCAGUGACAGGUGGUGCAUGGCUGUCGUCAGCUCGUGUCGUGAGAUGUUGGUUAAGUCCCGCAACGAGCGCAACCCACGUCUUUAGUUGCCAGCAUUCAGUUGGGCACUCUAGAGAGACCGCCGGUGAUAAACCGGAGGAAGGUGUGGAUGACGUCAAGUCAUCAUGCCCCUUACAUCCUGGGCUACACACGUACUACAAUGCUACGGACAAAGGGCAGCAAGCUCGCGAGAGUUAGCAAAUCCCAUAAACCGUGGCUCAGUUCAGAUCGUAGGCUGCAACUCGCCUACGUGAAGGAGGAAUCGCUAGUAAUCGCAGGUCAGCAUACUGCGGUGAAUACGUUCCCGGGCCUUGUACACACCGCCCGUCACACCAUGGAAGUUGGCCAUGCCCGAAGUCGUUACUCCAACCCUUGUGGAGGAGGACGCCGAAGGUGGGGCUGAUGACUGGGGUGAAGUCGUAACAAGGUA
rnacentral:rRNA from 1 species